rnacentral:tRNA from 1 species
GUCGUUGUAGUAUAGUGGUGAGUAUCCCCGCUUGUCGCGCGGAAGACCUGGGUUCGAUUCCUGGCAAUGGCG